AACGAACGCUGGCGGCAUGCCUAACACAUGCAAGUCGAACGAGACCUUCGGGUCUAGUGGCGCACGGGUGCGUAACGCGUGGGAACCUGCCCUUAGGUUCGGACUAACUCCCCGAAAGGGGUGCUAAUACCGGAUAAUGUCUUCGGACCAAAGAUUUAUCGCCUUUGGAUGGGCCCGCGUUGGAUUAGCUAGUUGGUAGGGUAAAAGCCUACCAAGGCGACGAUCCAUAGCUGGUCUGAGAGGAUGAUCAGCCACACUGGGACUGAGACACGGCCCAGACUCCUACGGGAGGCAGCAGUGGGGGAUAUUGGACAAUGGGCGAAAGCCUGAUCCAGCAAUGCCGCGUGAGUGAUGAAGGCCUUAGGGUUGUAAAGCUCUUUUACCCGGGAUGAUAAUGACAGUACCGGGAGAAUAAGCUCCGGCUAACUCCGUG
rnacentral:rRNA from 1 species